rnacentral:rRNA from 1 species
AUGGAAAAGAGAUGGCUAGGAGAAGAUCCAGCACCACAGCGAGGGCGCCUUGUCCCCGGGAAAAAGCAUGCACUCCGGCGUCAUCGCAUUGGAUAUGGAUCGGAGGUUGAAGUUAUGACGCGUGGAAAGGCGCGGGGACCGGGGAGGCAGGAACGGGAGCGGCAAGGCGCAGCUGUGGAGGAGGAGCACCGGAGCAAGGUACGUGCAUGUAUAGAGCCGCUACCUCGUCAAGUCCCAUCGUUACGAUCUGCGUACGACCUCGUCAGCUCGGACUGGAUGGAGGACAUGGCUCGAGGUAAGCAUUUCCGGUUCUGGGUACUUGAACAUCAGCUUAUCUCCUCUUGGAGAUCUUAUAAAAUUCUGAAUAUGUUACGAUCUGCGUACGACCUCGUCAGCUCGGACUGGAUGGAGGACAUGGCUCGAGUUGUUGUUGUCAUGGUGAGGCGUGCAUGCAUUCAUCACAUGGGGACUGGACGCCGCCAACAACCACUUGGGUGGCUGUGCCCCCUGCUCGGAGAGGGAUUUUGGAUUUGGGGUGUUGUAGGCAUGGCCGCCACCGCCACCACCGCCGCGUCGAUGGACCGGCUCUCUGAUCUCCCCGACGAUGUGCUGAUCCACAUACUCUCCUUCGGCCCCUCCCGCGAGGCCGCCAGAACCACAACCCUCUCCCGCCGAUGGCGCCGCCCCCUCUGGCUCCACACCGCCGCCAUCAACAUCGACUACCGCUCUUACACCACCGACGCCGGCGGCGUCCCUCUCCAGCAGCGCGCCGUGGACGACGCUGACCACGCGCUCGCGUUCCAGAAAUCCCUCGGCCGCGGCCCCAGGAAGGUGUCCCUCGUCAUGCGCGAUGGCACCAUGCAUGACGACAUCCUGCGUGCAGCCUGCGGCAGGGACGAGAACGCCGCUAUCAUCGAGGAGCUCCGGAUCGAGUGCCUAGAGUAUGGUGGCCGGCCCCACUACAUCCGCGCUGCCCCGCCGCGGUGGACGUACUACGAUCUGUCCCUCGUCUGGCUGCCCUUCGCCGGCUUCCGGGUCCUCGAUCUCACCGGCUGCAUCCUCCACACCUUUUCGCAGGUCCACACCUUCCAGGACUUGUCCUGCAGCUACACCGCCUUCAACUUCAAGUCGUGGCCAGCGCCGCCGGACCUGGCGCAGGUUCACCUCGCGCUGCACUCCAAUUGGGUAGCUGGGGGCCUGCGUCGUUCCAUGCUCAUGACUGUGUGCCACGUGAGGGUCCUCAGUCUCACGAUGUGCUCCAUCAGUGACCUCGCCGGGUAUGGCUUGUCACAGUUCCACAAACUCGAGCGGCUCGAGAUCGAAGAGCUCUGCGGGUGCAUAGUCAACCACAGCAAAGCGGCGGACGCCGUCGAGAACCUGUUGCGCAACUGCCCGGUUGUGCGCGACCUCCAUCACAGGCUUCGCUGGCGGGAGUAUCUAGCGGAGACCUCCGACCCGGCUGACCAGAUCGCUGCCGGGGCGGACCUUACGCCGUGCAGAUCCGUUAACCAGACAGGCUACGACGAUGACGAAGAGGAGUGUUGCGAGAGUUUGGAUUUAUAUUACCGACACUGCAGUCGUGAUCGGUUGAACUGCUUAAAGGGUUCCUUGAAGAGGGUGGUGGUGGAGUUCGACGCGGAGGAACUCACAUGCUUCCAGGUCCGGCUCAUCAGGUUCUUAGCGCGCGACGCGGCGGGUCUGGAGGAAGUGGCCAUCGACGGCGGGAAGGGGUACGACUCGAGCUGCAUGGAGCGCAAGUUCCCGCUGCCUGUGAAAGCUGCAGUGGCCCUGGCGCCUAUGACCCCACCAUGCUCUGACGUAGAAGUUGACAAUGGGUUGCAAUUUUACGACGAUAAUGAUGAUGAGGAGGAUGAGGAUGAGGAUGAGAACGAGGAUGAUGUAUCCCCUAGGCAUUUCAUGCAUGCUGGUAGGAAGAAGAAGAACGGCGGCGAGCUAGAGUGCUUUAGAGUGAAACUAAAGGCAAAGGACAGCAAGAUCACGGUGCGCCCGAGGAGAGGAGGAGCCAACCGCCGUCGCCGGAAUGGUUGUGGUUGGUUUGGGGAAGAAGGAGCAGACAUUGCAGGAUCGUCGGCAUCUCCACCUCCGGUGCCGGCGAUUUCUUCUCCGCAAAGGCUGCCAGCCAUGUACGAGUUCCCUCCGCUCCCUUGUGCCCCUCCGCCUACACCACCGAUACUACCGUCAGUAUGUGAGCCCCCCUCCCCUCAAACAGGACACUCCUUCGGCUCCUCCACCGUGUCCGAAUGUCGCUGCGGACAUGACGUUGAGGCGCCGCUACUUGUCACGACGCCGCCCGAUGGCUCCCGCCACGCCCUCCGGUCGCCGGUGCGCAGCAGCCUUUCGCAUCCAUCAGCCCUUCUAAGACCAGGCGGUGCUGCAGAUAACCCUAGCCGCCUCAAUCCCGCAUCUCGCGUGUCGCCGCCCCGCAGUCUCGCUCGCCCCGCCCCGCCCCGCCGUCUCGCUCGCCCCGCUCCGCCAUCUCGCUCUCCCUGCCCCGCCCCGUCUGUCUCGCUCGCCCUCGCCGUGGCCGAUGACUGCAGCCCCGUCGUCCCGCCCCGCUCGUCGUGGCCGAUGUCCCGCAGCUCGCCCCCCUCUCCCCCGCCCGUCCCGCUCGCCGUGGCCGGUGAUCGCGCCACCAGGGACCGCGGCCACUCGAUGAGGAGGCCAGGACCUUGGCGCAGACCCGUGCCCCGUGCGGCGGCGGCAGUAGAUCCUUCCUCAACGCGGAGCCAGCCCUCCCGCCGGUGCCACGCCGUGCCGCGAUACCGCUGGCUUGGAGGCCCAUGUUCAGGCAGCCGCUGCGGCGUCGUCAGCGCCAGAUGCGGUGGCAGGCUCUCAGGGGACCGCUUGGCAGGGGGGGCCGCCGCGGCUUUCGGCCGUCCUCCUCACCAUUAUCACCCAGCGAUCCUCCCCGCCCUGGCGCGGCCUCUGACCUCGACGGUGGCUGCUAAACCCGCAGGAGCCUAUGUGAUGUGUACCUGUGUUGGUGCCUUUACAGAAGAUCCAUUAUGCCUCCCUCUCGUGUUAGAAAUUUUCAGUUCUCCAUCCAUGGAUGUGAGUGUCGCUGAUGAGACCUUUGUGUUGGCCGGUGAUCAUGGGCAACUCGACUGCCAUUUUUCCUUUUGGCUAUGUGUUGGUUGCGCCUCAUCCGCGGCUGCUCGCAGGCGCUCCCGCAAUGCCGCGGGUAAAACUGGUGGUGGCCAUGGCAUUGCCAGCGGCUCUGCCUCUUGCGAAAUAAGAGAUGAAGCUCUCACCGAGCUCUCUCAUAGCUCAGGCACUCUCGGCCAUUGGAUCGGUUUGCUUGAUGCGUUCUGGACCGUUGGAUAUCGCUCCCGAUCGAUCUCGUCCGUCGGAUCAAAAAAAGUUACUGCUGGAAUGAAUAGUUACUGUCUCGUUCGUGCCACCGCGCAAAUUCCAGCUAGGGCAUGGAACACAAGAAAGCUUGAGCAAAUCAUCAUGUGCCUGCUCAAAGGCUUGGUUAACAAGGAUAAAAGGAGAAGAAGGGGAUGGAUGAGCAAGGAGCAGAAGGACCAGAAGAAGAAGGGCAAGGGAGGUUGGGCGAUAUGCAUGUCCAGGGAGGUCCGCCCCCAUCUCCUCCUCUCUUCUCUUUCCUUGUACUGCAGCAGCCCUUAA